CUCAGAUUGUACUGUGUAGAGAUAUAUAUACAUACUUAGAUAUAGCAUUAUCAAUCGAUGUGGAAGUUUUAACAAGAUAAACUCGGGAAUUGAAGCAUUCGUGGAGUCGCUGAGGAUUCUUCGCUUUGUGUUUGACGAAUUACGUGUAAUAACCGCCAGUGUACAAGCGUCGAAGAGAGUACGUCUUGCAGAUACAUUGCAGGGUAAAAGCGUAAUCUAUGAGCUAGAGAUAUGCACGAUAUGCCUUGAAUCGGAGGAUAAAGGUGUUGUGCACUGUGCAGUCAUCAUCAAUGUGAAUGUCUGAUGCCAGUAUGCCCAUAAUGGGGCAGUAUAAGUGUCGAUCUUCAUAUGACAGCAAGUUUUAAAAGGCAGCUCGAACAAUGACAAUUAAAGAGGCCUGUGCAAAUGUUGGGAUUUCCCUCUUGAAUGUGAUGCAAGGGAUGGUUUGCUGCACCUCAAAACACUGUAUGCAUAUUGGUAUCAGAUUCAAGGACAACAACACCUGAAAUACACCCAAAUGCUGUGAUUUGCAAGUGUGGACUCUUAUUGACACUCAAAGAGUUCACAUUGACAAAGAUGUGCUAUGGACAACAAACAUUUUAAGCGUGAUAGAGUUUAAUUAUACUAAUAAAGUAUUUUUUCAGCCUUUAUAAUAUUAGUAAAUUCUUACAAUUCCAU